rnacentral:rRNA from 1 species
GACGAACGCUGGCGGCGUGCUUAACACAUGCAAGUCGAACGGAAAGGCCCUGCUUUUGUGGGGUGCUCGAGUGGCGAACGGGUGAGUAACACGUGAGUAACCUGCCCUUGACUUUGGGAUAACUUCAGGAAACUGGGGCUAAUACCGGAUAGGAGCUCCUGCUGCAUGGUGGGGGUUGGAAAGUUUCGGCGGUUGGGGAUGGACUCGCGGCUUAUCAGCUUGUUGGUGGGGUAGUGGCUUACCAAGGCUUUGACGGGUAGCCGGCCUGAGAGGGUGACCGGCCACAUUGGGACUGAGAUACGGCCCAGACUCCUACGGGAGGCAGCAGUGGGGAAUAUUGCACAAUGGGCGGAAGCCUGAUGCAGCAACGCCGCGUGCGGGAUGACGGCCUUCGGGUUGUAAACCGCUUUCGCCUGUGACGAAUCGUGAGUGACGGUAAUGGGUAAAGAAGCACCGGCUAACUACGUGCCAGCAGCCGCGGUGAUACGUAUGGUGCGAGCGUUGUCCGGAUUUAUUGGGCGUAAAGGGCUCGUAGGUGGUUGAUCGCGUCGGAAGUGUAAUCUUGGGGCUUAACCCUGAGCGUGCUUUCGAUACGGGUUGACUUGAGGAAAGGUAGGGGAGAAUGGAAUUCCUGGUGGAGCGGUGGAAUGCGCAGAUAUCAGGAGGAACACCAGUGGCGAAGGCGGUUCUCUGGGCCUUUCCUGACGCUGAGGAGCGAAAGCGUGGGGAGCGAACAGGCUUAGAUACCCUGGUAGUCCACGCUGUAAACGGUGGGUACUAGGUGUGGGGUCCAUUCCACGGGUUCCGUGCCGUAGCUAACGCUUUAAGUACCCCGCCUGGGGAGUACGGCCGCAAGGCUAAAACUCAAAGGAAUUGACGGGGCCCCGCACAAGCGGCGGAGCAUGCGGAUUAAUUCGAUGCAACGCGUAGAACCUUACCUGGGUUUGACAUGGAUCGGGAGUGCUCAGAGAUGGGUGUGCCUCUUUUGGGGUCGGUUCACAGGUGGUGCAUGCCUGUCGUCAGCUCGUGUCGUGAGAUGUUGGGUUAAGUCCCGCAACGAGCGCAACCCUUGUUCACUGUUGCCAGCACGUUAUGGUGGGGACUCAGUGGAGACCGCCGGGGUCAACUCGGAGGAAGGUGGGGAUGACGUCAAGUCAUCAUGCCCCUUAUGUCCAGGGCUUCACGCAUGCUACAAUGGCUGGUACAGAGAGUGGCGAGCCUGUGAGGGUGAGCGAAUCUCGGAAAGCCGGUCUCAGCUCGGAUUGGGGUCUGCAACUCGACCUCAUGAAGUCGGAGUCGCUAGUAAUCGCAGAUCAGCAACGCUGCGGUGAAUACGUUCCCGGGGCC